AGGGGGAUAACUACUGGAAACGGUAGCUAAUACCGCAUAACGUCUACGGACCAAAGUGGGGGACCUUCGGGCCUCACACCAUCGGAUGUGCCCAGAUGGGAUUAGCUAGUAGGUGGGGUAACGGCUCACCUANGCGACGAUCCCUAGCUGGUCUGAGAGGAUGACCANCCACACUGGAACUGANACACGGUCCANACUCCUACGGGAGGCAGCAGUGGGGAAUAUUGCACAAUGGGCGCAAGCCUGAUGCANCCAUGCCGCGUGUAUGAAGAAGGCCUUCGGGUUGUAAAGUACUUUCAGCGGGGAGGAAGGGUUGCUGGUUAAUAACCAUUGACAUUGACGUUACCCGCAGAAGAAGCACCGGCUAACUCCGUGCCAGCAGCCGCGGUAAUACGGAGGGUGCAAGCGUUAAUCGGAAUUACUGGGCGUAAAGCGCACGCAGGCGGUCUGUCAAGUCAGAUGUGAAAUCCCCGGGCUUAACCUGGGAACUGCAUUUGAAACUGGCAGGCUAGAGUCUUGUAGAGGGGGGUAGAAUUCCAGGUGUAGCGGUGAAAUGCGUA
rnacentral:rRNA from 1 species